rnacentral:rRNA from 1 species
GCACCGGAUCCCAUCAGAACUCCGCAGUUAAGCGCGCUUGGGCUAGAGUAUUACUGGGAUGGGUGACCUCCCAGGAGGUCCUAGUGUUGCACCCU